rnacentral:tRNA from 1 species
GAGCUGGUGGCGCAACAGUAGCGCAUCUGACUCCAGAUCAGAAGGUUGCGUGUUCGAAUCACGUCCAGCUCU